CCUCAACUAAGGAGAAGUCCGUGGUUGUAUUCGCUAAAAGUUUUUAUUGAAAGUUGGAAUUUCAGCAUUUGCAGUUGGGCAUCAGUUGUACGGGACAAGCAUAAGUACAGGUGAAUGAGGUGUGAACCUGACGGUCCCCAGUACCCCGGGUGGUGAUGUGAGCACGGACACCCUUCUCCCUCAUCAGUCUCAAUUAUGGGAUAUUUACACCCUGCCUGGUCCCGGAACCCUGCCAGCCAAGCGGAUAAUGGCUCUCCACUCUCUCCAGUUACCCCGUAGAGUGUAGGGAGCCGACACCCCAUCUCACACACACACACACACACUUCCCUUACAGCUCUGCUUUGUUCCUGGGUGGUGACAUCAUGGCCGUGGGGUUGCCAAUGGGGACUGCGGCAGACUCACUCACACACACUCAAACUUUUCAGAUCUCUCUGACGUCCAGGGGUUUUCACUCUAACCCGUUGUUCUAACACACUGCUAGAUGAGAUGAGGCAGCCUCAGUCCACUAAACUCCCUGUGUCCUAGUCUAUCUGUACCCUGAUAGACUGACGCCAGACCUGGCUCUACUCCCUCGCCCAUGUACGGUGCCCCUAGAGCAGUGGUGUUCAACUCUGACCCCUACGAGGUUCGGAGCCUGCUUGUUCUCUGUUCUACCUGAUCAUCAAUUACAGCCGCCUGAUGUCCCAGGUCUAAAUCAGGCCCUGAUUAGAGGGGAAUCACCCACCUGGGUUCCCAGGUCUAAAUCAGGCCCUGAUUAGA
ensembl:lncRNA